UACGUAGGCAGCGAGCGUUGUUCGGAGUUACUGGGCGUAAAGGGUGUGUAGGCGGUUGUUUAAGUUUGGUGUGAAAUCUUCCGGCUCAACUGGGAGGGUGCGCCGAAUACUGAAUGACUAGAGUGCGGGAGAGGUGAGUGGAAUUCCUGGUGUAGCGGUGAAAUGCGUAGAUAUUGGGAGGAACACCAGUGGCGAAGGCGGCUCACUGGACCGGUUCUGACGCUGAGGCGCGAAAGCGUGGGGAGCAAACGGG
rnacentral:rRNA from 1 species